rnacentral:rRNA from 1 species
GAUGAACGCAGGCGGCGUGCUUAACACAUGCAAGUCGAACGAAGCAUUUAGAACAGAUUAUUUCGGUAUGAAGUUCUUUAUGACUGAGUGGCGGACGGGUGAGUAACGCGUGGGUAACCUGCCUUGUACUGGGGGAUAGCAGCUGGAAACGGCUGGUAAUACCGCAUAAGCGCACGGUGCUGCAUGGCACAGUGUGAAAAACUCCGGUGGUAUAAGAUGGACCCGCGUCUGAUUAGCUAGUUGGUGAGAUAACAGCCCACCAAGGCGACGAUCAGUAGCCGACCUGAGAGGGUGACCGGCCACAUUGGGACUGAGACACGGCCCAGACUCCUACGGGAGGCAGCAGUGGGGAAUAUUGCACAAUGGAGGAAACUCUGAUGCAGCGACGCCGCGUGAGUGAAGAAGUAAUUCGUUAUGUAAAGCUCUAUCAGCAGGGAAGAUAGUGACGGUACCUGACUAAGAAGCUCCGGCUAAAUACGUGCCAGCCGCCGCAGUAA